rnacentral:rRNA from 1 species
UGAAUACGAGAUGCUACGGCGUCGAAGCAGUGUAUGUCAGACUUCCAAGAAAAGCUCGCAAUGUCAUAAAUAAAGAAUGCCUGUACCAUAACCGACACAGGUGGGUAGGUAGAGUAUACUAAGGGGCGCGAGAUAACUCUCUCUAAGGAACUCGGCAAAAUAACUCCGUAACUUCGGGAGAAGGAGUGCCUUCUAUUAGAAGGUUGCAAUAACAAGAUCCAAGCAACUGUUUAUCAAAAACACAGGUCUCCGCUAAGUCGUAAGACGAUGUAUGGGGGCUGACGCCUGCCCAGUGCCAGAAGGUUAAAGAGGUUGGUUAGCUUUGGCGAAGCUGAUGACUGAAGCCCUGGUGAACGGCGGCCGUAACUAUAACGGUCCUAAGGUAGCGAAAUUCCUUGUCGGGUAAGUUCCGACCCGCACGAAAGGCGUAAUGAUUUGGAUACUGUCUCGGAGAGGGACUCGGUGAAAUAGACUUGUCUGUGAAGAUGCGGACUACCUGCACCAGGACAGAAAGACCCUAUGAAGCUUUACUGUAACUUGAAAUUGAAAUUGGACUUUAUUUGCGCAGCAUAGGUGGAAGGCGUUGAGAUUACUCUUGCGGGAGUACUGGAGCCAUCAGUGAGAUACCACUCCUAUAAUGUUAGAUUUCUAACUUUGGAUCAUGAUCUGGUCAAAGAACAGUUUCAGGCGGGCAGUUUGACUGGGGCGGUCGCCUCCCAAAUGGUAACGGAGGCGUACAAAGGUUUCCUCUGAACGGGUAGAAAUCGUAUCUAGAGUGUAAAGGCAUAAGGAAGCUUGACUGUGAGACCUACAAGUCGAGCAGGGACGAAAGUCGGUCUUAGUGAUCUGACGGUGCUGAGUGGAAAGGCCGUCACUCAACGGAUAAAAGUUACUCUAGGAUAACAGGCUGAUCUCCCCCAAGAGUUCACAUCGACGGGGAGGUUUGGCACCUCGAUGUCGGCUCAUCGCAUCCUGGGGCGGUAGUACGUCCCAAGGGUUGGGCUGUUCGCCCAUGAAAGCGGUACGCGAGCUGGGUUCAGAACGUCGUGAGACAGUUCGGUCCAUAUCCGGUGUAGGCGUUAGAAUAUUGAGAGGAGCCUUCUUUAGUACGAGAGGACCGAGAAGGACAUACCUCUGGUGUACCAGUUAUCGUGCCAACGGUAAACGCUGGGUAGCUAUGUAUGGAGAGGAUAACCGCUGAAAGCAUCUAAGUGGGAAGCCCACCUCAAGAUGAG